rnacentral:rRNA from 1 species
UAAGGCUGAGGCGUGAUGACGAGGCACUACGGUGCUGAAGCAACAAAUGCCCUGCUUCCAGGAAAAGCCUCUAAGCAUCAGGUAACAUCAAAUCGUACCCCAAACCGACACAGGUGGUCAGGUAGAGAAUACCAAGGCGCUUGAGAGAACUCGGGUGAAGGAACUAGGCAAAAUGGUGCCGUAACUUCGGGAGAAGGCACGCUGAUAUGUAGGUGAAGUCCCUCGCGGAUGGAGCUGAAAUCAGUCGAAGAUACCAGCUGGCUGCAACUGUUUAUUAAAAACACAGCACUGUGCAAACACGAAAGUGGACGUAUACGGUGUGACGCCUGCCCGGUGCCGGAAGGUUAAUUGAUGGGGUCAGCGCAAGCGAAGCUCUUGAUCGAAGCCCCGGUAAACGGCGGCCGUAACUAUAACGGUCCUAAGGUAGCGAAAUUCCUUGUCGGGUAAGUUCCGACCUGCACGAAUGGCGUAAUGAUGGCCAGGCUGUCUCCACCCGAGACUCAGUGAAAUUGAACUCGCUGUGAAGAUGCAGUGUACCCGCGGCAAGACGGAAAGACCCCGUGAACCUUUACUAUAGCUUGACACUGAACAUUGAGCCUUGAUGUGUAGGAUAGGUGGGAGGCUUUGAAGUGUGGACGCCAGUCUGCAUGGAGCCGACCUUGAAAUACCACCCUUUAAUGUUUGAUGUUCUAACGUUGACCCGUAAUCCGGGUUGCGGACAGUGUCUGGUGGGUAGUUUGACUGGGGCGGUCUCCUCCUAAAGAGUAACGGAGGAGCACGAAGGUUGGCUAAUCCUGGUCGGACAUCAGGAGGUUAGUGCAAUGGCAUAAGCCAGCUUGACUGCGAGCGUGACGGCGCGAGCAGGUGCGAAAGCAGGUCAUAGUGAUCCGGUGGUUCUGAAUGGAAGGGCCAUCGCUCAACGGAUAAAAGGUACUCCGGGGAUAACAGGCUGAUACCGCCCAAGAGUUCAUAUCGACGGCGGUGUUUGGCACCUCGAUGUCGGCUCAUCACAUCCUGGGGCUGAAGUAGGUCCCAAGGGUAUGGCUGUUCGCCAUUUAAAGUGGUACGCGAGCUGGGUUUAGAACGUCGUGAGACAGUUCGGUCCCUAUCUGCCGUGGGCGCUGGAGAACUGAGGGGGGCUGCUCCUAGUACGAGAGGACCGGAGUGGACGCAUCACUGGUGUUCGGGUUGUCAUGCCAAUGGCACUGCCCGGUAGCUAAAUGCGGAAGAGAUAAGUGCUGAAAGCAUCUAAGCACGAAACUUGCC